rnacentral:rRNA from 1 species
UAGGGAAUCUUCCACAAUGGACGAAAGUCUGAUGGAGCAACGCCGCGUGAGUGAAGAAGGAUUUCGGUUCGUAAAACUCUGUUGUAAGGGAAGAACAAGUACAGUAGUAACUGGCUGUACCUUGACGGUACCUUAUUAGAAAGCCACGGCUAACUACGUGCCAGCAGCCGCGGUAAUACGUAGGUGGCAAGCGUUGUCCGGAAUUAUUGGGCGUAAAGCGCGCGCAGGCGGUCCUUUAAGUCUGAUGUGAAAGCCCACGGCUCAACCGUGGAGGGUCAUUGGAAACUGGGGGACUUGAGUGCAGAAGAGGAAAGUGGAAUUCCAAGUGUAGCGGUGAAAUGCGUAGAGAUUUGGAGGAACACCAGUGGCGAAGGCGACUUUCUGGUCUGUAACUGACGCUGAGGCGCGAAAGCGUGGGGAGCAAACAGG